rnacentral:lncRNA from 1 species
GUGGCUCACCGUCAAUGGCCCUGCCAACGGAUUCUUUGUCAACCUCGCUGACCAAAUGCAAAUUCUUACUAAUGGCAAAUACAAGAGUGUGGUGCAUCGGGCAACUUUCAACAACAAAGCUUCGAGGAUAUCUAUUGCCAUACCACAUGGACGAUCUGUUGAUACAAUUAAUGUACCGGCGCCGGAGUUGCUGGAAAAAGAAGGCCAAGCUCCGAAAUACAUUGGAAUGAACUAUAAGGAGUAUAUCCAGCGUCAACAAAGCGGCAAGAACUAUAUGAAAUCCACCUUUGAUCACAUACUAGCGUAACUAAGUUUUAUAUACAGUCCCAUGGCUUGGUCACAGUUCAAGCGAUCUCAACCGCAUUGAAAGAGCUGCAGCUUCCUUUUGGCUUCUUUUUCAUCGAACUAUUUUUAGUCAAAAUUUCUCUUCUUUUGUUUCAGUGAUCAUGUCAUAUUCUGUGUUGGCUUGAUGUGUUAUUAGCGCCAAACAGCUUUCUACGUAGUUCAAUAAUAUCAAACAAUCUUAGACUAGAAGCCAGUUUCGAGUGAAAAAAGAAAGAUAACGGAUUCAAGUCAAGUGGUCCGUCAUCAAGUGAAAAAGAAAACAAGGUUCAUGAGCAGAAUAGCAGCACAUCAGUUUUAAUAUAUAACCCAUUAAAAUAAGACAGAAGAAAGAGAAAGAAAUAUCAAUCAAGUGCAACUUUUGGAAUCCACAAUCACCAUAAGCAGCCCCAGACACCGAGGAAGACAUAAUCAACAAGAAAUAUAUCAAACAGAUGGAUAAAUCCCUUGCAUUUAAGAGACGGAGUUGCCGAGAAAGAUAAAAGAAAUAGAAAGAAGAGGGGAGAGAAGGAAGAGGCAAAGAGAAAGAAGGCGGUGUUGUAAACUAAACCAAAAACCAAUCAAGCAAUAAACAUAACACAACGAUUUUAGAUUUCCUCUAAUAUAGGAAUACUUCUCUAACAACAGAAGCUUUAUUGAUUACCAACAAAUACAAGAGUACUCACAAACACAAAGUAUUAUCAAGUAUACAAACUUAUGUCUUUCAAAAACUUUCAUAUACAAACUCUAUCUCACGUCCAUCUAUUUAUACUAAUAGAUGUCCUAGGUUUACAUAAAGUCCUUAGAAUAUAGAAAAUCAAAUUCUAUACUAAAACCAAAUCUCAAACCAACUAGGAAACACAAAUUCAAAUAUCUUGCAUCCAAGAUAUCGUAAUUCUUUUUAGUUUAGGCAUAUUGAUUUAAUGCCAAAUCCAACAGGUGGGAGAAAAGGAAGCCGGCAGGGAAGAAAAAAAGAAAGAUAAAGAAUAUGGGAGGGAAGGAUGAGACGGCAGGAGAAAAAAAAAAGAGAAAUAAGAGGCAAAACAGGCUUGGUUUUGGGGGACGAGGUUUUCAAUAUAUUUGGACUUUUAUGUUGGAUACACAUAGUUUUCCGUUGAAAUUAAGCUAAUGAUUGAUUUUUUUUUGUAUAUUGAUAUUUUUACAUUAAAAAAUAGAGAUUUCGGCAAAACUGCAUAAUAGGUAACUUAAUUUGUUAUUGAAUUCGUCAUUUAAGAGGAAUAUCACUAGACCGUAGUACUAAGUGGCAGCUAAUGAUUGAUAUUGAGUUUGAAAAAUGAACGCUCCGCAUAAAUAAAUAAAUUAAAUAUUAAUUUAUAUAUAUAUAUUUUUUUUUUUUUUGAAAAUUUAUAUAUUAUUUAGUUCGGUUCAGUUCAGUUUUUGUACCACCAAAAUUGAAACUCAACCAGUAAUUUUUAGUUCAGUUCGGUUUGGUUUUCUAGUUUCAAUUUGGUUUUUAAUUAAUUUUUCUUUUUUAGUUUCAGUUUAGUGUUCGGUCUUUUUUUUUUUUUUUUCCGGUUUUCUAAGCCCACCCCUUAGAUGAUAUAGAUUAAGUUACACAUAAACAGACUUAUUUUUCAAAUAUAUAUAUGUACAACAAAACAUCUUAAUAACGUAGAGUAAUCUUUCCCUAAACGACAAAAAGUUGUGUUCAUUUCCUUUUGUCAUUGGUUGUCCAAAAAUCAUCAUUAUUUGUGUCAUUUAAUCUAUGAUUGAUAUGACGAUAAGAUCAUUACUCUUGAAAACAACAAAAAUUAGAUAUAGUUGUCAACGAAAAAAUAUUUAGACUGUUAAUUUGAUUUAAUCAUAAGGAAUUGUAAUUAGCACUCCAAAAAUUUUAUUUUGCACGUCAAACUUUCUAUAAUUAGAAAGAAAAAUACACUAAUGAGGAAUGUAAAAUGAGAUUUUUGGAGUACUAAUAACAGUUCUCUAAUCAUAAUAUGGUGGUGAGAUUAGUAGUGGGGAUGAUGGCAUAAUACCUUAUUACGGUGAAAUCAAACUAAAUGAAUCUCAAUUGUUUCCUAUUAACACUCAAUGAGUUGAUUUGUCAAUCUAUUUAGCUAGCUAUUCUAGAAGUUCUUAAAAGUCUUGAGAGCAACACCCCACGUGUCAAGAUACAUGUGGGAAAUAAGUUCAGGCUUUCAACAAAAAUUUCCAACUGGCCACUGUGUUUGUUGAACUGCAUUGCUGAUUCUAAGGUUAUUGAUUAGGCCUGAUAAUUCUUGAUACGAUCUGAUAAUCCGAUGCGACACGACACGAAAUUAAUAGGUGUUCGAGUCGAAAUGUAACGAAUCGGGUCGUUAUCGAAUAACCUGAUAAGCACCUGUUAAGAUAACGGAUUGGUUCGGGUAUACACGUGGGUAACACAAUACACGAUAAGCAAAAUAUUGAGUUAAUAAUUUUAUAACCCUAAAAAAAUACUUAUAUAUAUUAAUUUAACAAUUUUAUACCCCUAAAAACUAUAAUAAUUAUAUAUAUAUAUAUAUUAUAUUAAAUAUUAAAAAUUGGUGACCAUUGGAUUGGCUUAAAUAUCAAUACCAUUCAAUUUCUUAAGUGUUAUAUGUACAAAAUAAAUAAAUUUAAAUCUACUUAAUAAAUAUAUAUAGCAAUGAACUUGAUAGGAUACGAAUUCUACGAAACUAAUUUCAACGAUCCAACCAUCAAACUUGUUUGUAUAUGCUUCGAGAUCACAUCAGCGAAAAAAAAAGCUUUCAGAGAUCAAAUAACAGGACAAAACUUUUCGACGGUUAUCAAUGAAAAAUCACGAUUUAAUGGUUAUUUUAACUCCGAUUUUGAUGAUUUUUUAUAACUACACUCAUUGACCCUAUAUGAAUACAAUGAAUGAACUCGAUCUUCAAUUUAAAAUAUUUACACUAGUGGAUACCACAAAAUCUUAUGUUAUACUUAAUGAGAGUACGAAUAAACUCUUAAGUGUUAGUGAAUCUAUUGUUUUGAUAGGAUACGCAUUCUACAAAACUAGUUUCAACGAUCCAACUGUCAAAUAUGUUUGUAUACACUUGAGAUCGUAUACGCCAAAAAUUGCAAAACACAAACAUUUAGAGAUAAAGUAACGGGACAAAACUUUUCGAUGGUUAUCAACGAAAAAUCACGAUUUAACGGUUAUUUUAACUCUGAUUUUGAUGAUUUUUUACAACUACACUCAUUGACCCUAUAUGAAAACAAUGAAUAAACUCGAUCUUCAAUUUAAAAUAUUUACACUAGUGGAUACCACAAAAUCUUAUGUUAUAUUUAAUGAAAGUAUGAAUAAACUCUUAAGUGUUAGUGAAUAUAUCGUUUUGAUAGAAUACGCAUUCUACGAAACUAAUUUCAAUGAUCUAACCAUCAAACUUGUUUGUAUAUGCUUCAAGUAACAGGACAAAACUUUUCAACGAUUAUCAACGAAAAAUCACGAUUUAACGAUUAUUUUAACUCUGAUUUUAAUGAUUUUUUAUAGCUACACUCCUUGAUCCUAUAUGAAUACCAUGAAUGAACUCGAUCUUCAAUUUAAAAUAUUUACACUAGUGGAUACCACAAAAUCUUUUGUUAUACUUAAUGGAAGUAUGAAUAAACUCUUAAGUGUUAGUGAAUCUAUUGUUUUGAUGGGAUACGCAUUCUAUGAAACUAGUUUCAACGAUCCAACCGUAAAACAUGUUUGUAUAUACUUCGAGAUCGUAUAUACCAAAAAUUGUAAAAAACAAACAUUUAGAAAUCAAGUAAUGGGACAAAACUUUUUUACGGUUAUCAACGAAAAAUCACAAUUUAAUGGUUAUUUUAACUCCGAUUUUGAUGAUUUUUUACAACUCACUCCUUGACCCUAUAUGAAAACAAUGAAUGAACUCGAUCUUCAAUUUAAAAUAUUUACACUAGUGGAUACCACAAAUCUUAUGUUAUACUUAAUGAAAGUAUGAAUAAACUCUUAAGUGUUAGUGAAUCUAUUAUUUUGAUGGGAUACGCAUUCUAUGAAACUAGUUUCAACGAUUCAACCGCCAAACAUGUCUGUAUAUGCUUCGAGAUUGUAUACGCCAAAAAUUUUAAAAACUAAACAUUCACAGAUCAAAUAACGAGACAAAACUUUUCGACGGUUAUUAACGAAAAAUCACGAUUUAACGGUUAUUUUAACUCCGAUUUUAAUGAUUUUUUACAACUACACUCCUUGACCCUAUAUGAAUACAAUGAGUGAACUCGAUCUUCAAUUUAAAAUAUUUACACUAGUGGAUACCACAAAAUCUUAUGUUAUACUUAAUGAAAGUAUGAAUAAACUCUUAGGUGUUAGUGAAUCUAUUAUUUUGAUGUAGUUUCAACGAUCUGACCGUUAAACAUAUUUGUAUAUACUUCAAGAUCGCAUACGCCAAAAAUUGUAAAAAAACAAACAUUCAGAGAUCAAGUACAAGACAAAACUUUUCAACAGUUAUCAACGAAAAAUCAUCAUUUAACGGUUAUUUAACUCCGAUUUUGAUGAUUUUUUACAGUUACACCCGUUGACCAUAUAUGAAUACAAUGAAUGAAUUCGAUCUUCAAUUUAAAAUAUUUACACUAGUGGAUACCACAAAAUCUUAUGUUAUACUUAAUGAAAGUAUAAAUAAAGUCUAAGUGUUAGUGAAUAUAUUGUUUUGAUGGAAUACGCAUUCUACGAAACUAGUUUCAACGAUCCAACCGUCAAACAUGUUUGUAUAUGCUUCGAGAUUGUAUACGCCAAAAAUUUAAAAAAAAAAAACAUUCAAAGAUCAAGUAACGAGACAAAACUUUUCGACGGUUAUCAACGAAAAAUCACGAUUUAACAGUUAUUUUAACUCUGAUUUUGAUGAUUUUUUACAAUAACACUCAUUGACCACCGCGACCACCCAACUUCCAAGGCCAACUACGAUGGAAUUUUUCGACGCCACCACCGCCAUCUUGAAGCUCUCAUUCCCCUCUACAAAACCCACACAAGAACCACCUUGAUUAACCACGGUAUGUGGUGGUUUGAGGCCACAAAAGUCAACGAAAAUGAACAAUGCUCUGGCCACCCUUUUCAAUUUUCUGGCGAAUUGGCAAAGCAAUGGUCGAUGCCACCACUUGGUCUUUGUAGCCCAUCAUCACAGGAGCAAAACCCAACCAACCUUGACCCCGUUGGAUCACCCUAGACGACAAAUCGACACCGGGAAGCUUUAGGCACCCGCUGGCUUCGUGGCAAAAUUGACCAUCUUCCGUCCACUUUUGGAUUUCGUGGCAGGCGACGAUGGUUCGUGAUGUCUCAACGUGCGUGCUAGGGAGUCGUGGCAUGGACCUCAGGUGUGUGAGUCUUUUCCAUUCUAUCGUAUAUUAUAUAUAUAUAUAUAUAAUUGACAAUUCAAUAAAUGUUUAUAAAUCGAUUAUUGCUUAUGAUUAAUGUGAAUGCUGUAAAAUACUAUUGUGAACUACGAAUGGCUUGAUCCAUAUUUGGGGUACAUAGGCAGUCUAACUAGACGUUAGAUGCAGCCAUACAAUAUUUGAAACAAAAACCUUGUUUGGGAAUUGAGCAAUGUGAAGGAAAGUGGUGAAAAUAUGAGGUUUAACCUUAUGUUUUUAGUGAUUGGAUGUUGGUCAUAAAUCAAUGUGGAAGGAAUCAAGAAACUGAAAUAAGGAAACGUAAGUAAUGAUAGUUAAUUAAACUAAUGUUUAGUUGGACUUAUCCCCAAUAAUUAUUUCCAAAAAUAAAUAAUUCGGGAGUAAGGUGUUAUAGAUCGUGCAUUUUACGCCACAUUAUAUAUAUGUAUAUAUAUUGGAAAAAUACUAUGAUAUGGUUGAGUUUUAGAUUGCAUUAUGGCAUAUCCAUGUGUAUACUACCUGCACAAAAUUAUUAUGAAUGCUUUGAAGUGCGAAGAUGAACACAGAACCCACAUGUAAGUUCAAGUGAGUUAUGGUAUUAGUUGAAAUGAUUGAGUUAUGGCAUGAUCACAUUAUGUUUUAGGCAACUCCGACAUUAUCGUACAAGUUGCCUAUGAGUUGUAUAUGUCACAUGAGAUGCAUUUAGAGCUCAUAAACCUACACCCCGGUGUUAGUGCUCCCGCCCGUGGCUAGGGCACCUUCACGUGAUGGUCACAUCCCGCACAUUACGCUCACCUUGGAUCCAAGGUAGGUGCACUUGCCUGUCGUACAGACCACUAUAGGUGGUUCCGACUCGUAGGUGACCCGCGAUUAUUGGCACAGUCUUCAUGUGAUCGUAGCACUUAAGCGUAUUUAUUUACACCCAAUCCUAUCGUACAAACCACCUUAGGUGGUUCCGACUCUUGUGCAGGUAUACUUAUGAGAUAUGGAUAAGUCGUACAGGUCAUUAGAGGUGACUCCCGACUUAUGAGCUAGCAUAUGUGACGAGAUAUGGAUAAGUCGUACAUGUCACCAAAGGUGACUCCCGACUUAUGAGCUAGCAUAUGUGAUGAGAUAUGGAUAAGUAGUACAGGUCACUAGAGGUGACUCCCGACUUAUGAGCUAGCAUAUGUGAUGAGAUAUGGAUAGGUAGUAUAGGUCACUAUAGGUGACUCCGACUUAUGAGUUAGCAUUGAUUGAUGAGAUAUGGGUGCAGUCGUACAGGUCACCAUAUUGACUCCGACUUAUGAGUUAGCAUUGAUUGAUGAGAUAUGGGUGCAGUCGUACAGGUCACCAUAUUGACUCCGACUUGCGUGCUAGUAUGAGUUAUUAAUCACAUGAUUAUUGAUAUUGCUGAUGAGAUGCUGUGUUGUGGUAUAUUUAUGAUUUACUGUUGAUAUACUUUUGAUUUCACAUUGAUACGUGGUAUGAUUUUCUGGAAACUAUACAGGUGUUGCAGCGAGGGGUUAUAAUGAUGUAGAUGGUUUCUAUUAAAAUUUCAUUUCUAGGGCAACUCACCCUUGUUUUGUUUUCACCCUCCAGGUUUUAUUAGUUGAGCUUUCUUAUCGUCGAAGAUUCAUGGCGAUUCUUAGUAUUGGAGAUUCUUUCGAGGGUACGAUUCUUAAUCCACUCUACUGUACUUACUUAUGCUUUAACGUCACGUGUGAAGUGGGUUCCUUCCUGCUCACCAGCGCACUCUGGUAUUUAGGCACUCUUAGGUUUAAAUUUAUUCAUAUUUUUCCACAUCUUCACACUUUAUGGCUUCGUCACCUUCCAGGUGUCGGCUAGCGCAGCUUGAUUCAGAGUCCUAGUGGACAUUCCGGGUCGGGGUGUGUCAAUUUACACUAUUGGAUACCACAAAAUCUUACGUCAUUAUGAUUGAUGAAAAUUGAGGAUUUUGUAAAAGGAAUAACAUGCAAGCUUUGAGUUCCAUUGGCAAGGUUUAAACUUUUGAGAAAGGCUUCACAACCUUGAAAACAAAAACUCUUUCAUUUUUCAUAUCCUUGCACAUUUAAUAUUUUGUAAUAGACUAGUAGUGUAUGAAUGUUUGUUUAUUAGGCUCUUAUUUUCGAGUGUAGAUGUAGUACUUAAACGACAAAUGUGUUUUAAUGUUUUGAAGUAAUAUUUAUGUGGCAAUGUGUGGUAUGUGCAAAUUUAAGGAAAAAAAUAUAUUUUUCUUAACAGGUCAUAACGGGUUGGGUCACUUUACUAGGACCCGUUAAGAUAACGGGUGUAACACGACACGACCCGUUAAGAUAACGGGUGUGACACAACACGACCCGUUAAGAUAACAGGUGUUACACAAAAACGACACGAACAUGACAAACACGACCCGUUUGCCAGGCCUAUUAUUGACCAUACAAAACGAGCAACUUAGCUUCAAUUAAUAUGGAACUGAUCAUAGAUAAAAAUAAAAUAAAAUAAAAUAAAAGGUCAUGAUUAAUUAUUUACUUGCAUUCGUCACUUAAUUAGGUUUUUUUUUUUUUUAAUUUUGUGAAUGAUUAGAUAUCUAUUACAAGAUAAAAGAAGAUUAUGAAAAAGAAGCAGAGCUAGAAGAAGGAGAUGAUCGAUACUGGAACAAGUUAACAGAAGAAGAACUACACAACAAAGACAACAUGAUGGAAGCCUAGAAGAGUUGAAAGCAUAUAAGCAAAAGUUGAAAUAGCAAAGUAAUAAUGCAACAAGUGGGGAAUAUGUCACAAUAGCACUCUGCAAAGUUAUGCACAAUAAAUCAAGCAUUAGACAAAAAUAUAAACAUCAAUGUGGGACCAACCAUAAUAAAUGGAAUAAUGAUAUAAGAGUAAAUAAAAAAAUGUUUGAUCCAUUAUGGACAUUUUCCACCAAAAAUUCCCUUUUAAUUAAAAAUAAAACUGAAAAGAGCUUUCAUUAAAAGGAAAACUAACGAAAAUGACUUGAAAACUGAGUUUUAAUGAUAAGGACAAAAUAAAGGGUAAAGUUAAUAGUACCAUAAUUGACUUUUUAGUGUAAAAAUAUGGUUUUUUGUUAAAGUGAACAGUAUCGGGAGCUUUUCGUUAAAGUUCCCUUCAUUAAAUCCCCUUUUUGUAAACGUUGAAUAAAAUACUUUGUAGAUUCCAUUUUAAUUUUAUUUUUAAUUUGAGAAAUGCUAAUGGGACUUUUUCAGAGUCAAACUAUCCAUGGACUCACUACCAUCUCAAAAUUUAACAUUUAUUAUCGUGUCAACAUUAUAAAAUAUUGUGUAAAAAAUAUAAGGUGGUAAAGAGUCCCUAGAGACUCCACCUUUUGAGAGAGCCUCUUUAGCAUUUAUCAAAUUGAGAAAUGCUAAAGAAACUCUCUCAAAGUGAGACUUUUCAUGGACUCACUGCCACCUCACAAUUUAACGUUUCUUCUCGUGCCAACAUUAUUAAACAUCGUACCAAAAACAUGAGGUGACCAAGGUUCUAAAAGACGCUAGACGCUAGUCGGGCGGCGGCCUAGAGACUACCACUUGACGGGGCCUAGGAGGAUUUACGUAAAAUCGUAUAAACAAAUGCCAAUUUAUACUUAAAAAUAUAUAUAAUUGUACUGAGAUACAUAGAUUACAAAAUAAAAUAACAUAUAGAUUGUUUUAUGUAAAUUUAUUACAUAUAUGUAUAUAUAUAGUAAUAAUAAUAAAAUAUGACUUAUAUGCAAAAGUUGAGGAAUAUUUCUUUUGGUUUUGUAACAUUUUUUCAUGGAAAGGGAUCCUCUCCGGAUCACUUCCUCCAAAUCCACCAAGUCCAGAGAUCUGAGCUAUUAAAAUUUAAUCCAACGGCUAAACAAGGGCCCACUUUAAAAGUUACAAUAAUUUUAGCCAUUAGAUCAAAUUUCAAUGGCCCAAAUUCCCGAACUUGGUGGAUUAGGAAGAAGGGAUCCAGGAUCCCUUUCCUUUUUUCUUAGCCUAAUAUGUUUUAAUCAUUGUUGGGCCUUACUUUUCAUUAAAAAAGGAUUGAGCCUUGUUUUCACAUUAAAUAAAUAAAUACAAAUUUAUUCCCUAAUUUUAAAAGAACUAUCAGCCAACUUUAAAAUCUCUAACUCUAACCCUAGCCAACAUAAACUCUGCACUAUUGCACUUCUUCUUCUAUGCAAUUGCAGAUUUUACAGAGCUCCCUCUUUCCCUCUCUCUCUUCCUCUCUUGUCAAAUGUUUUAUGCCAACUCCUCUUCUACGCACAUAGAGGAGGGAAAAGGCGCAGCAACAUGAUGACUACCUUUGCAGUGAUAUAUUUUUCUUGAGUUACGGAACCUCCCGGGGGUCGCCGAGGCCACCUAGCCAUCCCAGGAGGCCGUCUUGGCGCCGCCUAAUAGUCUAGCCGACUUGUUAAACAAUUUUGGUGAAUUCACGGCCGCCGUCGAGCGCUUAGGUCAAUUUUUAGAAUACUAAAGGUGGCAGAGUAUCUAUAGAGAGUCCCACUUUUUGGAGUAUCUUUACCACUUCUCUUAUAAUUUCAAGAAUUAUUUUUUGGGUACAAAUUUCUAGAAAUAUGUUUUUUGGAGAGUGAUAUCCACGCAUCUAUUUAUACAGAGUCCCAUGGCUUGGUCACACUUCAAACGAUCUCAACCAUAUUGAAAGAGCUGCAGCUUCCUUUUGAUUUCUUUUUCUUCGAACUGUUUUUAGUCUAAAUUUCUCUUCUUUUGUUUCAAUGAUCAUGUCAUAUCGGUGUUGGCUUGAUGUGUUAUUAGCACCAAACAGUCUUGUAGUUCAAUAAUAUUAAACAUUGCAGACUAGCAGCUGGUUUCGAUUGAAAACAUUUGCUUGCCUGAUUUGCUUUGUUUUAUAGUGUUGAAGGACGUAACCAUGUGCUUGCCAAAUUUGCUUUGUUAGUUUGAAUAGUCUCAUAUAUAUUCCCAUGUUGGUUUUCGAGUAAAAAUAAAACAAAAAACAUUCCAAUGUUGGUGGGCUGAUAAGUUUUGACUAUGCUUUCUUGCUUAAUUUCCGGCACUCGUCGUGUACAAGCAGGAAUCCCACGAUUCCAGAAGUCUUUGCAAGUCUUGAGAGCGCAAAAUAUAGCCAUACAUAGAGAUCUCAGCCAGAUUUCACCCCAUCAAAUCUUAAGGAUCUGGAAAUUUGGACCCUUGAAAUUUGAUCCAACCGCUACAAAUAAGGAGAUCCUUAUAAAAAUAAUAAUAAUUAUAGCCGUUAGAUCAAAUUUUAAAGGUCCGGAUCGCCAAAUCCUUAGAACUUGAUGGGGGAGAUCCGGCUGGGAUCUCUAUCCUACAUAAUUUUCAAAAAAGGUGGAUUGGACAACAUAUUUUAAAAUUAAAAGCUAUCAUGUCAUGGAGGAAAGACCAUACUGGUAAUGCUACACUUACCAUUAUGUUGUACCCAUCACUUGUAUCAUAUAUCUAAUAGAGAUGGGUCUGUCAACGCAUGUGAGUCUCAUCUUUAUUAGAGAGAUAGUACAAGUGAUGAUACAAUUAGAUGAUGAGAAUAGCAUUUUUGCAUAAAACAUGGUUGAUAUUUUGACUGCAUAAAAUAUGGGUGGUGCCGGUGGCGCUUACAAGACUUGCGAGGACUUCUGGAAUCGUGGGUUCGAAACCUAGUGGUAAAUGACGGAUUACGAGGUUUCUUUAAAACUAAAAACUGGAGGUCUUGGGUUUAAAACUCGUUGUUGGUGUGGAAGCCAUAUUUGUGGCCAAAUGAAGAUUUAAAUACCUUUGUGAGUCUUCCUAACCCCCGAAAAUGAUGGAUAAUCGUGGUUUGCCAUCGGUUUUCCCUUUUUUUUUUAAAGAAAAACUAAUAAAAAUGGCUUGAAAACUUUGAGUUUUAACGACAAGGACAAAAUUAAUGGUAAAGUGAAUAGUACCAUGUUUGACUUUUUAGUGUAAAAAUAUGAUUUUUCGUUAAAAUGAACAAUACCGCAGAUUUUUCGUUAAAACUUCUUUUUUUUUUUAAAUAAAAAACAUUGUUGAAAAAGAAGAACUGGUCUUUGAUUAUCAAACUGAUUGGAUACUUUUAUUGACCUAUUAUAUAACUCUUAUAGACUCAUCAUUUCAUCUCAGAAACUUCAUUUUGAAAUUGAUUAGUUUAGUACUUAAAUAUAUUGUAGAAUAAUUAGAUGAGAAUUGUUAUUAGCACUUCAAAAAUCUUAUUUUACAUUCCUCAUAAAUAUAUUUUUCUUUCUAAUUAUAGAAAGUUUAGCAUGCCAAAUGAGAUUUUUGAAGUGUUAAUAACAAUCCCUAAAUUAGAUAGUUAAUUUCUCAUUAAAAAAAAAACAAAAAUACUACUUAAUUCUUGUGGACUGGUCAUUUCACUGUUAUUUUUUCAUCUCGAUAAGUAUGAGAUGGUUGGCCGCCGACACCAAAUUAAUUAGUGAUUCCUAACGCUUACUUCUGGAUUUGGACCCCAUAUGCAUACUUUUUGUGAUGAUUUUAAGAAUUAAAUAUUAUUGGAUAAUCUUUUAUUAUGCAGUAAGAAAUGUUUUUGAAUUUUUUUUAUUUAAAAUUAAACACAAAUAAUAUCUGAUAAAAACUGAUCGUAUGAUGUACAAUAAACAAAUAAAAUAUAAGGAUCCUCACAAACAGAAUCCGGAGAAAAUCCUCAUCCCUUACUUCUCACCACAAAAUAUAGCCAUUCAUAACUUUCAUAAAAGGUGGGCUUGACAACAUGCACGUUGAUUUAUAAUAAGGAUUAUGAGCACGAGAAAGUCGAUGACAUACGUCCCAGCUUCUCAGUUUCUAGCUAGCUCUAUAAAAGGAACUAUUUCCUUCAUUUAUCAUCACAGAAGUUUCAUCUCUAUCGACACUUAUAAUUCUUUUUACUCAUCCUCUUCUGGUAUACAUAAUAUUCUCUGAGUCCUUGAAAUUUGAAGAUAUGGCUUCAGUUGCUACUCAAACCAUGGAUGCAAAGAGCAUCAAAUCGCUUGCGGAAUCACCCGCUCUCGGCUCUGUUCCUUCUGCUUAUGCCUUCAACAUAAACCCCAACGAUGAAGCAGAUCCAAACGAUCCCGAAUUUGCAAUCCCCAUAGUUGAUAUGUCUCUUCUCACAUCGGGAUCUCCUGAUCAACGGUCCAAAAUAAUCCACAACCUCGUCAAAAUUUGCCAAGAAUGGGGCUUUUUCAUUGUAAGUAGUUUAACUAAGUACUAACUACUUCAGUUAUUUUUCAGGAGAAAUAUUUAAGUGACGGUUGCUAGUGUUUUAGAGUUACUUGUAGCAAUUUGAUAAAGAAAACAACAAAAAUGAUACUUUUGUCACAUUUUCAAUAAAACAUUUGUAUCCUCUCUAAUAAAUAUGAGUCCCACAUACAUUACUAUUAGAGAGAUGAGAUAAAUAUGAUAUGAAAAAUGUAAUAAGUGUAGCGUUACUCGAAAAAAAAAAAGCAAGCUAAUUAAUCAUGAUCACGAUCUAUUCAUUCCAGGCAAUUAACCAUGGAGUCCCAGAGAGUCUAAUGAAGGGGAUGAUUGACGCGUGCCAUGGAUUUUUCAGCCUCCCAGACGAAGAGAAGGAGGAGUUCAAAUCCGGAAAUGAUGUGCUGGAGAUGUUCAAGUACGGAACCAGCUACAAUCUUGCAUUAGACAAAUUUCUUCUCUGGAGGGACUUCUUCAAGGUGAGAGUACAUCCCGAGUUCUACUCCCUCUACAAACCGGCUUGCUUCAGUGAGGUUUCAAUGGAGUUCAGCAAGAGAACAAGAGAAGUAGCAUUGGAGAUAACACGCGCAAUCUCCGAAAGUUUGGGACUGGAGCCCAAUUACAUCCAUGAUGCGAUGAACAUGGAUCGCGGCCUACAAAUGCUCGCCGCCAACUACUAUCCGCCUUGCCCUCAGCCAGAACAUGCAAUUGGUAUACCACAUCACACUGAUCAUGGCCUUGUCACCCUCCUCAUCCAGAAUGAGAUGAAUGGCCUCCAAGUUGAACAUAAUGGCAAGUGGCUCACCGUCAAUGGCCCUGCCAACGGUUUCUUUGUCAACCUCGCUGACCAAAUGCAAAUUCUUACUAAUGGCAAAUACAAAAGUGUGAUGCAUCGGGCAACUGUGAACAGCAAAGCGACGAGGAUAUCUAUUGCCAUACCACAUGGACCAUCUGUUGAUACACUUAUCGCACCGGCACCGGAGUUACUGGAAAAAGAAGGCCAAGCUCCGAAAUACAUUGGAAUGAAUUAUAAGGAGUAUAUCCAGCUUCAACAGAGCGGCAAGAACUACAUGAAAUCCACCUUUGAUCACAUACUAGCGUAACUGAGCUUUAUACAGAGUCCCAUGGCUUGGUCACACUUCAAACGAUCUCAACCAUAUUGAAAGAUCUGCAGCUGCCUUUUGAUUUCUUUUUCUUCGAACUGUUUUUAGUCUAAAUUUCCUUCUUUUGUUUCAAUGAUCAUGUCAUAUAGGAGUUGGCUUGAUGUGUUAUUAGCACCAAACAGCCUUGUAGUUCAAUAAUAUUUAAGCAGUUUUAGCGAAAUACUUCUGGUACUGUUUAUUUUUAACGAAAAACCACAUUUUUACGUUUUCUUAGUAUUAUUUACUACACCUUUAUUUGUCAUUUUUUAUUAAAACAAAAGUUUUUAUAGAUUUUUCGAUAGUUUCCUUAACAUUUAUAUUAUCAAACAUCGCAGACUAGCAGCCAGUUUCGAUUGAAAAUAGGCUUCAGUUUUCAGGGGAUGGGGCUUUCAAUAUAUUUGGUCUUUUAAGCCAAUGAUUGAUUUGAAAUUGAGCAUAAAAAAUAAGGAAAACUAAUGAAAAUGGUUUGAAAACUUUGAGUUUUAACGAUAAAGACAAAAUAAAUGAUAAAAUAAAUAGUACAAGAAUUGAUUUUUUAGUGUAAAAUAUGAUUUUUCGUUAAAGUAAACGGUACCGGGAGCUUUUCAUUAAAGUUCUUGUUUGUACCAUACUUGACCAAUCCCGAAACUACAACUAAGCUUCAAGUGAAAUUGAUACAUUACCUUGUGCGUCAACAUCAGCUAAAUACACCAUUCCCGGAUGGAGGAAAGGUACUUCCAGAGAAGGGCAGAUGAAGAUCAGACCACACUUCGGUACUUAGAAGUUUCGUGAUUACUCAAGGGAUUGGAUCUUGCAAGUCCCCAACCGAGGAGUUUCCCUCACUCGGGAACUUAGGGGAGCACUGUUUGUACCAUACUUGACCAAUCCCGAAACUACCGAGCACCGGCCAACGCUAUACUGUCAAGGACCCAGAAGAGUUCCCCUCCGACCAGGAGGCCAAUCACUACUCGACACGUGUCAAGAUUAGAAGCCAAUCAGAGCGCAGCACGUGUCGACAUCAAGAACCAAUCAUAACAUGACACAUGUCAAUGUGACAAAGCUACAAGUUUUUCUAUAAAUAGGGGUCAUUCCCCCACAAUAUUGGCUAAUGCCAUUUGUGUCAAAUCAUUCACAAGAACUCACUAAAUUGAGAGCUUGAUCCUUUGUACUUGUGUAAGCCCUUCACUACUAAUAAGAACUCCUAUACUCCGUGGACGUAGCCAAUCUGGGUGAACCACGUACAUCCUGUGUUUGCUUCUCUGUCUCUAUUCAUUUACGUACUUAUCCUCACUAGUGACCGAAGCAACCAAGCGAAGGUCACAAAACCUGACACUUUCUGUUGUACCAAAGUCUUCGCUGAUUUUGUGCAUCAACAUUUGGCGCCGUCUGUGGGAAACGACACUUAUUCCUACUCUCUUCAGCUGUGUCAAGCUGGUUUCUAUCAUUCGUACACUUUCUUUUGAUCAGGCAUCCCUCUCCAGCAUGGGAAGCGAAGGAAGCCACAGCACACAGAAUGACACCCCCAUUGCACAUAGUGCGAAACAACGAAAGAAGGAAGGAAAACGAGUUCUUCUUCAAGCUAAAGUCGAUGAGUUGGAAGCUCAGAACAACAAGAUAGCAAUGAAGAAUGAGGUCCUCCAGGAGCAAUAUGAGAAGCUCUUCGAGACAUUCCACGAAGCUAGGCAAGCUCAGACACGCGAGCUUGUUGCCCCCGUGGAAGUCAACCAUCAACUGGGUGCCCUCCAACAUGGAGGGUCACAUGCAUUCGACAUAGAUAUCCCUGAUAGGGAACAAAUUACCCCUCGAUUUGAUAAUCAACAUGAGGCUUCUCUUAACCCAGUUGCUUCGACCCGAACCAUGAGAAGCGGAGGGAGACACCUCUUUGCUGAAGGGGCAGAAGGAUCGAAAGCCGUCUUUCGCGAUUGUCGGGAUUUCCUGAAGCAACGUCGAGAGAAUUCCAUCCAUAUAAGCUCAAAGAUCAAUGACCCCAAGGAUUUCUGAGAGACUCGGUCCCCUGCCACGGCCCGAGCCGGCCACCAACUUGGGGAAGGUGCAACAAGUCCUAGAGAGACAUGAGGGUACAGGGGACUCAGAGGUGUUCCGACAGACAUACCCUGGAAGCCAGUACAGCGAGUCCAGGGAAAAAUCACAUGCCCUUGAUCAAACCUUCCUAAUUCCAAGAGGAGAUGGAGAUUUACGAAAGAAAGCUCCAGUGGCACAUAACUCCGCUCAGGACCGCCUUGUCCUACAACUUCUUGAGGAAGUAAACAAGUUGAAGGCUGAACGUCAGGCUGAAAUACCUGACUGGAACCAACCCAGGCCUGGCCCUCUUACAAGGAGGAUCCUCAACACCCCCCUUCAAGCAAAGACAAAGCAGAAGCUUGGCUUGCAACUUUAUACUGGAAAAGAGGACCCGAUUGAGCACCUUAACCUCUUUGAGUCCACCAUGGCAUACCGGAUGCACACCGACGAAGAGCGAUGUCUUCUCUUCCCCUCCACCCUCUCUGGCGGAGCUCUAAAUUGGUAUUGUCGUCUUACACCUGAGACGGUAGACUCAUUUGAGGAAUUGAGGAAACUAUUUGUUUCCCAACACAUUUUCCAAACCGAUCGCUUGCACUCUGCAGAUGACCUGUACACUAUCCGCCAGAGGCCAGACGAGUCAUUACGUAUGUAUGCUGGCCGCUUUCAGCCAUGAAUACUCCCGGUGUGCCGAGGCAGACGACAAGACUGCCCUCAAAGCCUUCACGGUAGGCCUACGUGAUUGUUUCUUUAAAUACAUGAUCAAUGCCAAUACUUGGAAGACUUACUCUGAGGUGAUGGCGCAGGCUUAUAACCAUGCCUCCGCCGAGGCAAAGACAUAUCAGGAGAAACCCCCUCACCCAACGCCAUGGAGGAAGAACUAGCAAUAGCUAAAGUUUGACGGUUGGAAAGAUCAUCCAAUGUUUCUCUAGUACAGGACUCUAACAAAGACCCUGAAGACUCCGACAUUGCAGACUCAGACUUAGAGCUAAAGCUAGAAGAGCCCUCAUCACUAGAACUUCCAGGCUCUGACAUCUACAAUAAGAAGAAACAAAUUCUAUCACUACAUGCAUGAUCAAAACAUAAGGAAGUUCCUAUAUUACCCACAUGAAGAUGGUGCAAAGCGAUGCCGGAACCCUUCUCAAUCAGAAAGCAAUCCGUCUUCCACAGUCACUACAAAAAACAAGCAAAUGAAGACCGUGUCAAGCGCCAAAAAAAAAAAAAAAAAAAAAAAAAACAGCUUCAUCCAAAAAAGCUUCACCCGAAAAGCUUCACCUCCAAAACUUCACCCAAAAAGCUUCAUCCAAAAAGUUUCACCCAAAAAGCUUCACCUAAAAAAGCUUCACCCAAAAAAAAAAACUUCACCUCCAAAAAGCUUCACCCAAACAGCUUCACCUAAAAAAGCUUCACCCACAAAGCUUCACCUAAAAAGCUUCACCCACAAAGCUUCACCCAAAAAGCUUCACCUCCAAAACUUCACCCAAAAAACUUCAUCCAAAAAGUUUCAUCCAAAAAGCUUCACCUAAAAAAGCUUCACCCAAAAAAAAAAAAAAAAAAAAAAAAAAAAAAAAAAAAACUUCACCUCCAAAAAGCUUCACCCAAACAGCUUCACCUAAAAAAGCUUCACCCACAAAGCUUCACCUAAAAAGCUUCACCCACAAAGCUUCACCCAAAAAACUUCACCCGAAAAGCUUCACUUAAAAAAGCUUUACCUACACAGCUUCACCUAAAAAAGCUUCACCUAGAAAGCUCCCUCUACAUACUUUCACCUACAAAGCUUCACCAUCAAAAGCUUCACCUCGAAAGCUUCAUCUACAAAGCUUCAUCUACAAAAGCUUCACCAUCAAAGCUUCACCCAAAAAGCUUCACCUAAAAAAGCUUCACCCAAAAAAAAAACUUCACCUCCAAAAAGCUUCACCCAAACAGCUUCACCUAAAAAAGCUUCACCCACAAAGCUUCACCUAAAAAAGCUUCACCCACAAAGCUUCACCCAAAAAACUUCACCCGAAAAGCUUCACUUAAAAAAGCUUCACCUACAAAGCUUCACCUAAAAAAGCUUCACCUAGAAAGCUUCACCUACAUAGCUUCACCCAGAAAGCUUCACCAUCAAAGCUUCACCUAGAAAGCUUCAACACCAAAGCUUCACCUACAAAGCUUCAACACAAAACCUUGCUCCAAAUAAACAAAUUUUGUUCACAAAACCCAAGAUGCCCUUGAACUUGUACAAAAACACAGGUCAACACAAACAUUUGUUUUGUUUUACACCCACAAGGGCAUCCCUGUCAUAACCAAACAAGCAAUUAUGUAUAUGUUUCCAAACAUAUUAUAAUAGAUCCAACAACAAGCCAAAGUCCCAAGUUUCAUAAUGGACAAAAGUACAAGCAAUUCAUCAAUAAUGAAGGUGCUACAAAACUUGGAAUCUGCCCCAAAAUAGAAAUCCAACCCAAGAGACUUUUUCUCUCUCUCCCUCUUCCGCCUCCUUUCAUCUAUCAAAUUUCUGCAACCUCUGCUCUUCUCCAAUGGAGCUGAAUUUUUGGACACCCUAUAGUUUUUGAGCAUAUGAACAACUUUCAAGAAGGAACCAUUUCUGUUUGAGCGACGGAAAUUAAAGUGUUGAAGCUCCAAACAUGACAGUCGGAUUCUUGCAGAUUUCGAAGCUGCUAUGAUGUUUCGAAGAUCUGGAAAUAUUUAACCAUUAGUUCAUUCUGAAUUUUUGAUAUGUUAUGAAAGAGACGAUGAGGCACAACUUCAAUGAAGAAAGCAUGCUGAUCUGAACAAUAGAAAAUGGAGUUUCGAAGCUCACAACAAAUCUGACGGGUUGACAGAAAAAUAAUAACCAGUCAUUCAUCAUACCUGAAUUUCUUGAGUUAUAUAGCUCCGAGGGAUCUCAAAUUUGGAUAUGUUGUAGUUCACAAGCUGAGGAACAACUUCAAUGAAGAAAGCAUGCUGAUCUGAGCAAGAGAAAAUAGAGUUUCAAAGCUCACAACAAAUCUGACGGGUUGACAGACAAAUGAUAAACAGUCACUCAUCAUACCUGGAUUUCUGGAGUUAUACUGCUCCGAGGGACCUCAAAUUUGGAUAUGUUGUAGUUCACAAGUUAAGGAACAACUUCGAUGAAGAAAGUAUGUUGAUCUGAACAAGAGAAAAUGGAGUUUCGAAGCUCACAACAAGUCUGACAGGUUGACAGAAAAAAAUGAUGAACAGUCACUCAUCAUACCUGAAUUUCUGGAUUUGUACUGCUCCGAUGGAUCUCAAAUUUGGAUAUGUUGUAGCUGACAAGGUGAGGAACAACUUCGAUGAAGAAAGUAUGUUGAGAUGAACAAGAAAAAAUGGAGUUUAGAAGCUCACAACAAGUCUGACGGGUUAACAGAAAAAUUGAUGAACAGUUACUCAUCAUACCUGAAUUUCUGGAGUUGUACUACUCCGAUGGAUCUCAAAUUUGGAGAUGUUGUAGUUCACAAGAUAAGGAACAACUUUCAUGAAGACGACUUUGCGAUCUGAGUUAUAGAGAAAUGGUGUUAUCUUGCAUCCACUCAGGCUGAUUAGUGGAAACGAAAAAGCAAUUCCACCAAAGAAAAGAUGAAAAAGAGAGAAAAGCUACUAAUUGCACUUGAUCUUGUCUAGUCAAUAGCAUGCAGCAUCAAAACACACAAAAGUUGGAAAUAUUUUUAGAUAAGGCAUAUGCGAAUGUGUGACAUCGAAACAAGGAUUCGUUACUUUGACAAAUUAGUAACAAGCGAGACACCUCAUUCGGCAACUCUCUUCGCCUGAAGACUUGGGGGACUCCCACCAUAUGCUACUGCACCUUAAUACUCGGCAGUCUCACAACCACUCAGUGACUUGGAUUUUUCAAGUCUCCAACCGAGAAGUUUUCCUCACUCGGGAAAUUAAGGGAACACUACCUCAAACUACAUGCUUCACUCACAAAGCUUCAACAAUACAGGUUUCAACAAAAGCAAAAAUUCAAAAAGAACUUUAUGAAGAAGGCUUUGGUGUAUUUAACACAAUAUAUUUGAAAUGAAGCAAAGCUUAUUUAUUAAUAUUUUCGAUAAGCCACAAAUAUGUACAUAUACAUGAGUCAAAAAUAAACAAACAAAAGGGAGCCUUCACAAAGGUUGCUUAGGGGAAGUCUCAGCAGUCGGUAGAGCCCCAGAAAGAGAAAGCACCGGAGGGGUGGUUAUCCGGAGCCUCAGUACUUGACAAAACCCCAGAAGGAGGAGGCAUUGGAGGUUCAUCAUUUGAAGCUUCAUUACCAGGUACAGCCCCAGAGGACGAAGGCAAUAAAUGCCUUUGGAACAAACCCACAAACCGCUGAUGAUCAAGUAAAACCUUACCAUCAGAUUCCUUCAUCUGGUCAAGCUUCCUCUUCAUGUUUGUAGCAUAGUCAUGGGCGAGCCGGUGCAACUGCUUAUUCUCAUGCUUGAGCCCUCUAAUCUCCUGUUUGAGACUCAUCACUUCAGCAGCCAAUGAUUCAACUUGGCGGGUUCUAGCAAAUAGGCGUUGGGCCAUAUUAGACACAGAACCUGCACACUGAACACUAAGAGCCAGAGAGUCCUUAACAGCCAACUCAUCAGACCGUUUGGAAAGUAGUCUGUUAUCUUUGGGAGUGAGAAGGUUCCUGGCCACCACUGCAGCGGUCAUAUCAUUCUUCAUCACAGAAUCCCCAACGGUAAGAGGACCAGUAGGGGAUAUGAAGGAUGGGCGCCAUAUGUUGUCUGGAGAAGGCGUGGCUGUCUCUUCUCCAAGGUUCAAGUCAAAACGACGGUCGGAGGGUCCAGACAUUUUCAAAUGUGUUGAAGAAGGAAGAGGUCAGACAAAUCAAGAUCUUAGAAGUGCAAGAAAUGAGCUUCUACUGGUAGAGAUUCAAGUGUGCUGUGGAACUUAAUGCCAGCCUCUAUAAAAAUCUGCACUCGACGGAGCUUUCAGAAAUCGAAGAGGCGUUUGCUUUCUCAAAAGCUGGGCUGCUCAGAGACCACGAGGGCCGAUCUCAGAAAUCGAAGAGGCGUUUGCUUUCUCAAAAGCUGGGCUGCUCAGAGACCACGAGGGCCGAUCUCAGAAAUCGAAGAAGCACCUGCUUUUUCAGCCUCGUCAGCACCUGUCACAUGCACAAUCAGCUUUGCGAAAAAUUACGGGCAAUCUGUCGAAGAUUUCUGGUGAAGUAGAAAGCACGUGAAUCUUACUGUUCAAUCACCGCUCUCCAUAUGCACCAUCAACUCCUCGGGUACCACAUAUAACUUUGUCAAAGAUCUCUGACAAAGUUUAGGCACGAGAAUUUCGAAGUUCCAGCUACCCUACUAUUACCCAUAAGGGUAAAGGAACAGCACCACUGCUUGACAACUGGAAAGUCCCUAUGUGUGUCGACCUCCGUGUUUUGCGGCAAGACAGGUUGGCAAGAACGUCCAACCUUUACUCACAUUCGAGAAAAGACUCCCAACAUAAUUACUUUCUCAAAAACCGGAGUAGCACCGCUUUCCGAAUCUCGAGAGUCAGAUCCUCGACGGGAUUGCUUGUUCGAAAACCGAAGAGGCACAACUCUCAGAACUUCGAGAGCCAGAUUUCCUUAGAUAAAGCUUGUCUGUAAUCUUCACACGUAACAUCAGCUUUCCAGAUACCACAUACCACUUUUUCAAAGUGCUCUGACAAAAUUAAAACACGUGAAGCUGGCAGCUCCCACUACAUUGCUGUGACCAAGAAGGGUAAAGGAAUAUCAUUACUACUUGUUAUUGGGAAAUCCCUAUAUACAUUGACCUCCCUCCUCAACGGACAGGCAAACCUGCAAAAAUGCUCAACCCUUUCUCUCGCAUUCGAAAAGGCACCCUCAACAUAACCUCUCGAAAUACUCAGCUUUAUUUCCCCCCGAUAUUACCUCAGCAAAUAAGCCACACCAAGAACAAGAGUAUCUCAUAUCAUCAGGGUCGAAAGCAAGAGUAUCCCAUAUCAUGCUUUCUCCCUAUCUUUGUCUUUGUCCUUGUCCACACCUGCAGGACAAGGAGAAAGAGAGCAGUCAGUCGGAACCUGAAAUCAAACCUCCAAUUUGGAACUGACUGCCUGGAGCCUUUGCCUGGUUGCUUACUUAGCAUUGCUCUCGAGUACUCAUCCUCAACUGCUGUCAAGGUCACGAAUUCCACCGGCAAAUACCUCAUGACAGUUGAUCAGAUAUUGGCUCUUUACACUGAAGCUGCCAAGCGUGGAUGAGUCACUAUGAAGGAAUGUUCUGAAGGACCAUUUAAAUGCAAAGGUUGCACACCACUUCUGUCAUGCAAAAGAUUGAAGCAGAAGGUUCAACGGUGAGCUGAAACAGAUCACUACAGCACGACACUUUUCCAUACCACAUUCAUUAUUCCGUCAACAGCAAAAGUAUCCCAUAUCAUCAAGGUCGAACGUACUCUAGAUUUGAUGGACUUGUUUUGACCCUCAAAUUUUUGAGUCGGCCUUAUACUCUGAAGGGCACCAGAAAACCCUCCAGCACAGUUCAAGAAUAAGCCUGUGGAAAGUUACUUCUUCAAAAGCAAAAGUAUCUCAUAUCAUCUCUUAUCCAUUUGCUUCUCCUUAUCCUGGCAGUUGAAUGAGAGACAAGGAGAAGGAGAACAAUCAACCGGAAGCCGAAGUCAAACCUCUGAUCCUGGGUUGCUUACUUGGAAGUUUGACUGCUUACCUUGUCUGUCACCUCUUUCGGCAGAUCUCCUAGCUCGGCGACUUGGGGGACUCCUACUAUAGGGUUUGUAUCACACUUGACUAAGCCCGAAACUACAACUAAGCUUCAAGUGAAAUUGAUAUAUUACCUUGUGCGUCAACAUCAGCUAAAUACACCAUUCCCGGAUGGAGGAAAGGUACUUCCAGAGAAGGGCAGAUGAAGAUCAGACCACACUUCGGUACUUAGAAGUUUCGUGAUUACUCAAGGGAUUGGAUCUUGCAAGUCCCCAACCGAGGAGUUUCCCUCACUCGGGAACUUAGGGGAGCACUGUUUGUACCAUACUUGACCAAUCCCGAAACUACCGAGCACCGGCCAACGCUAUACUGUCAAGGACCCAGAAGAGUUCCCCUCCGACCAGGAGGCCAAUCACUACUCGACACGUGUCAAGAUUAGAAGCCAAUCAGAGCGCAGCACGUGUCGACAUCAAGAACCAAUCAUAACAUGACACAUGUCAAUGUGACAAAGCUACAAGUUUUUCUAUAAAUAGGGGUCAUUCCCCCACAAUAUUGGCUAAUGCCAUUUGUGUCAAAUCAUUCACAAGAACUCACUAAAUUGAGAGCUUGAUCCUUUGUACUUGUGUAAGCCCUUCACUACUAAUAAGAACUCCUAUACUCCGUGGACGUAGCCAAUCUGGGUGAACCACGUACAUCCUGUGUUUGCUUCUCUGUCUCUAUUCAUUUACGUACUUAUCCUCACUAGUGACCGAAGCAACCAAGCGAAGGUCACAAAACCUGACACUUUCUGUUGUACCAAAGUCUUCGCUGAUUUUGUGCAUCAACAGUUCUCAUACCCAAUACAAAUAAAUAAAUAAACAAAUAAACAAAUAAAAUAUUAAUUUAUAUAUUUGGUUCAAUUCAGAACCAUCAAAAUCGAAAUUGUACCAAUAGUUUUUGGUUUGGUUUUCAAUUGAUUUGGUCUUUCCAGUUUCAGUACAGUGUUCAAUCAUUAUUUUCGGUUUUCCAAGCCCACUCCUAAGAUAUAGAUUAAGUUACACAGAUAUUCCAAAUAUAUAUACACGUACAACAAAACAUCUUAAUAAUGUAGAGUUGAAUUUGUACACUUUCCUAAGUUAUCUUUCACUAAACGAGAAAAGAGUUUAACGGGACUGUUUAGUUUUCCGAUUAAACUUAUCGAUACUAGCUUUUGGCCAUCACCGGAUUCUGGUACAGCUUCUCCGUAACCAAGUUCCGUUAGAGGUUAGAUAUGUCGUACGUACAUUUUGUUAAUUAGAUGAUCAAUUCCAUUAGUUUUACAUUAAUUGUUGUAAAAUUAACCAUGUGCUUGCCUUGUAUAUUAUUAUAUAUGUCGAGGACUUAAAAUCAUAGAAUAAAAUCUAGUUAAAAGAAAAGAGCGUACAAUUAAAAGUGACAAUGUGCUUGCCCGAUUGCUUUCAUUUCCUUAUGUCAGUGAUUGUCUCGUAAUUCAAAUGUUGGUGAACCACAGCAAGUGGUCAGUGGUAAGGGCACGAACUAUGGCUUCCUAAUAAAAAAAAAGUGGGAGGUUUCAAGUUCGUUGUUCCGAGUUGGUGAAUCUGUUUGACUAUGGUCACGGGCAGGGUGAAAUUCCCUAUAACCUCUCUGGGUUCAGAAGUGAUAGAUAACCGUGGUUUGCCACUAGUUAUCUCAUUUUUAGAAAAAAUAAAAUAAAAAGGAAAAAAAAUUGGUGGGCUGUUCGGUUUGACUACACUUCCUUUGCUUUCCAAGCAUCCCACGGCAAAGAAAAUAUGCAAUAGAUCCAUAACCAUAUGAGAGGGACCCAAACUAUCGGGUGACAAAUCAACUUAUUAGAAUGUUAACAAAUAAACAUUUGGACUCUUUUGGUUUGAUUUUAUCAUAAUAGGGUGGUAAGAUUGAUAGGGGAGAUGAUGGUGUAAUAUCUUAUUAUGGUGAAAUCAAACUAAAUGAGUAUUAAUUAUUUCCGUUAAUGUCUAAUGAGUUGAUUUGUCAAUCUAUUUAGCGCUAUUCUAGAAGUCCUGGAAAGUGUUGAGAGUAACACCCCACGUGUCAAGAUACAUGUGGGAAAUAAGUUGGGAUAUUUGGAAAUAUAGCCAUUUUUUAAAUCACUUUUUGAAAUAUAACCUACAUUUUCUAAUUUUAUAAAACUAAACCAAAAUUACAAUUAAAAAGACAUAAUUACCCUUAACCUUCUAUAAACACUCCUGUGCUGUCUUUAGACUCCUCAUCUCCAUUGAAACACCACCACCAAACUUCAUCUAGUGAUCCUGCCAAGCAGUAACUGCAAUUAAAAAGACAUAUUGGAUCGGCUACAAUAGUAUGGCGUAAGGCUUCUCCUGGGAAGAAGGUUGGUUUCAUUGCUGCUAGGUGGACUAGUGGUCUCAGAGGACAAGUUGCUGCAAACGUCUCUAAGGCAGACAAGUGAUGAGAUUACAUUUUCGACUUUUUCUAUAUUUGCCGUGUUUGGACUGUUUAUAUUUUAUUCAAAACUAGUUUGGAGCGUUUUGUGGAGGAAAUUUUGUUUAAGAAAAAAAAAACAACGAGGACAAAGAUUUAGAAAAGAAACACCACGAUUCUGGAAGCGAGGAAUGUUUUAAACUAAGGGCAAUAAGACUUUUUAACUUCAAUUUUGGUUAGUUUUAUAAUAAAUGAAAAAUGUAGGUCAUAUUCCAACAGGUGAUCUCUAAAAUGGCUAUAUUUCCAAGUUUCCCAAGUAAGUUAAGGCUUUCAACAAAAAUUUCAACUGACCGUUGUGUUUGUUGAACUGCAUUGCUGAUUCUAAGGUUAUUGACCAACUUAGCUUGAAUUAAUAUGGAAUUGAACAUAGAUAAAAAGGUCAUCAUCAAUUAGUUACUUGCAUUGGUCACCUAAUUAGGUUGUUUUUUAAUUAUUAUUAUUUUUUUUUUUUAGUUUUGCGAAUGAUUAGGUAUGCAUCUUAAUAAAAGAAAUGUUACACUUUGUUUAGGAAAAAUAUGAGGUUUUCCACCACACAUUAAUAUAAGAGUAAUUUUUAUCCUCAUGCAAUCUCAGUACUACAUGAAGAGCGUGAUAGCGUACUUUUAGCUCCCAGAUCAAUUGAUAUGCCAAAAUAGAAAUGAAUUUAUAGGAGUUCGAACUCAAAUUGAGAGUUUCAGAUCUUUACUCGCUUUCCACUAGACCAAGUUCCAAAUAUUGACUCACUUUCCACUAGACCAACCAAGUAGAGAUGCAUACCCACAGCCGACUGAUUGAUUUGAAGGUUGAUAUUGGUAAAACUGUAUUUCCAAAGCUUGAUCUUCCCAGAUCUCCUCAAAAUUUCAAAUUCAAUUUAUAUAUUCUUCUUCAUAUCCUUUAUUCAAUCUUCAUGCAUGAACGAUGCACAUUGGAGUAUUAUACAAAACAAAACCACCUUUGAUCCUUUAUAUGCAUUUUGAUACCUGUUGAAAAAAUUAAUAUUCCACCGCACAAUAAUUUUUAUUUUCUUAAAAAAUUGGACAACUGGUGGCAAGCUACGGUUAUCCACUCCUAAGCCAUACCACAUGGACGAUCUGUUGAUAAAAUUAUUGUACCGGCACCAGAGUUGCUAGAAAAAGAAGGCCAAGCUUCAAAAUACAUUGGAAUGAACUAUAAGGAGUAUGUCCAGCUUCAACAAAGCUGCAAGAACUAAAUGAAAUCCACCUUUGAUCACAUACUAGCGUAACUAAGCUUUAUACACAGUCCAAUGGCUUGGUCACAGUUCAAGCGAUCUCAACCACAUUGAAAGAGCUGCAGCUUCCUUUUGGCUUCCUUUUCUUCGAACUGUUUUUUGUCAAAAUUUCUCUUCUUUUGUUUCAGUGAUCAUGUCAUAUUCGGUGUUGGCUUGAUGUGUUAUUAACACCAAACAGCUUUGUAAAUUGUACGUAGUUCAAUCAUAUCAAACAAUCUUAGACUAGCAGCCAGUUUCGAGUGAAAAAGAAAGAUAACGGAUUCAAAUCAAGUGGUCCGUCAUCAAGUGAAAAAGAAAACAAGGUUCAUGAGCAGAAUAGCAGCACAUCAGUUUUAAUAUAUAACCCAUUAAAAUAAGACAGAAGAAAGAGAAAGAAAUAUCAAAUCAAGCGCAACUUUUGGAAUCCACAAUAACCAUAAGCAGCCGGUCCAGAGGUUUUUGAGGCUCGGGGCUAUAUAAAAAAAAGUGUCAUAACUUCAUGUAAGAAAAUUAUUUAUUUUCACACAUAAAACAUUAAAAAAAUUAUACUUAGAAAAACACUUCAAACUCAAUAAUUUAGAAACACAGAAAGACUAAUUUAUUUUGUAUUGAGAGAGGGAAACAAAAAACUUCGGACUUACAAGUAGAUAGAUGAUGAGUUUUGUUUUCCAUCUGAAUUUUGAAUGUGUUUUUGAAUAAAUCGUGAGAUUUUUUUUUUCUUAUUUACUAACCUUGUCAAUAUGAGACUAAAAAAUAAUGAUGUUUCGAGUCUUUAAUUGAUAUGUAUUAUUAAUGAAUGGGCACUAAAUUAAAUAUUUUGAUGACAUGUUAUAUAAUUUGCAAAUUUGGUCUACAUAUUAUUCUUUGUUGAAGAUUAGACUUGAAUUAAAACAAAUAUUUAAAAAUAACAACCCACAUAGCUACUAUAUAGUAACUAAAAAUAAAUUAACAACCAAACAAAAAAUUGUAAAAAUUGAAAAAAAAUAAACAUGGCACAUAGCAUUUCGAACUUAGGACCCCUUGUUAAUUUUAAACAACAAAAAUCAUUGUUUCUAAUUAAACUUCUUAAUCCUUUAACCAAAUUUUAUAAAUUUAUACUCUUAUAAAAACAAAUUUGUUUGUUUCUAAUUAAACUUCUUGAUCCUUUAACCAAAUUUUAUAAAUUUAUACUCUUAUAAAAAUAACUUUGUAAAAAAUGGAAAGUAAAUAAGCACACAUGGUGUUUUGAACAUAAGACCUCCUCAUUAUUUUCAAAUGACAAACCACCACUUCUAGUUAAAUUUUUGUGUCUUUGAACCAAAUUUUAUAAAUUUAUACUCUUAUAAAAACAUAUAUAAAUAUAUCACCCUAAUAAUUUUGGUGUCCCUAAUUUUUUUGGGUCAUGGACGGUCGUCCUGCCUGCACUGGGCCUGGGCCGACCUUGGCCCCAGACACCGAGGAAGACAUAAUCAACAAGAAAUAUAUCAAACAGAUGGAUAAAUCCUUUGCAUUUAAGAGACGGAGUUACAGAUAAAGAUAAAGAAAUAGAAAGAAGAGGGGAAAGAAGGAAGAGGCAAGGAGAAAGAAGGUGGGAGAGAAGGAAGGCGGGAGAGAAGGAAGAGGCAAAGAGAAAGAAUGUGGGAGAUAAGGAAGGCGCCAGGGAAUACAAAAAAGGAGAAAGAGAGAAUAUGGGAGAGACAGAUGAGACGGCAGGAAAAAAAAAAUCUAAUGAAAAAGAUUUUAAAAUUCUGGAUGUUAACUAAACAUUCUUUAAUAAUUUUAUUUAAUGGUUAGGACAACGCUCAAUACUAAAUCAGUCUAAUUAAAAUGACUCAAAGUAAUAUGUUUUCUAUUUUACCCCUAACAGCAAAUGAACAUAUGCCGUCCCUCCCUCUUUCUUUUAUUUUUUAUUUUUAUUUUUUUUUCCCGAGCAUCCCGGCUGCUUCCUGUGGGCCGCAAUCAAUAAAAGCCCCUCCCUCCUCUUACCUCUGCUACAUUCCUCCAUUAAUAAUAAAAAAGGACAAGAGUUGAUUUUCUGACCCACAUUACUCACACAUGUCUCUCUCAAUCAUUAUAGUUAUGCCUGGUAAUUCCUAACACGAUCCAAUAAUUCGACACGAUAAGACACAAAAUUAACAGGUGUUUAGAUCGAUACGAUAACGAAUCGAGUCUUAUCGGGUAACCCGAUACGCACCUUUUAAGAUAAUGGGUUGGUUCGAGUAUACACGUGGGUAACACGAUACACGAUAAGCAAAAUAUUAAUUUUAUAAUUUUAUAACCCUAAAAAAAUACUAUAAUAAUUAUAUAUAUAUAUAUAUAUAUAUAUUAAUUUAACAAUUUUAUACCCCUAAUAACUAUAAUAAUUAUAUAUAUAUAUAUAUAUAUUAAAUUAACUACUAAAUUGGUGACCAUUGGAUCGGCUUAAAUAUACAUACCAUUCAAUUUCUUAAGUGUUAUACGUACAAAAUAAAUAAAUUUAAAUCUACUUAAUGAAUAUAUAUAUAUAUAUAUAUAUAUAUACCAUUAAACUUGAUGGGAUACGAAUUCUACGAAACUAAUUUCAACGAUCUAACCGUCAACCUUGUUUGUAUAUGCUUUGAGAUCGCAUCAGCAAAAAAUUGCAAAAAACAAACAUUCAGAUAUUAAGUAAGGGAACAAAACUUUUCGACGGUUAUCAACGAAAAAUCACUAUUUAACAGUUAUUUUAACUCCGAUUUUGAUGAUUUUUUUACAGUUACACUCAUUGACCCUAUAUGAAUAAAAUGAAUGAACUCGAUCUUCAAUUCAAAAUAUUCACACUAGUGGAUACUACAAAAUCUUAUAUUAUACUUAAUAAAAGUAUGAAUAAACUCUUAAGUGUUAGUAAAUCUAUUGUUUUGAUGAGAUACGCAUUCUACGAAACUAGUUUCAACGAUCCAACCAUCAAACAUGAUUGUAUAUGCUUCGAGAUCGCAUACACCAAAAAUUGAAAAAAACAAACAUUCAGAGAUCAAGCAACGGGAUAAAACUUUUCGACAGUUAUCAACUAAAAAUCACGAUUUAACGGUUGUUUUAACUCCGAUUUUGAUGAAUUUUUACAGCUACACUACUUGACCCUAUAUGAAUAUAAUGAAUAAAUUCGAUCUUUAAUUUAAAAUAUUGGCACUAGUGGAUGUGGAUACCACAAAAUCUUAUGUUAUAUUUAAUGAAAGUAUAAAUAAACUCUAAGUGUUAGUGAAUCUAUCGUUUUGAUGGGAUAUGCAUUCUACGAAACUAAUUUCAACGAUCCAACCGUCAAACUUGUUUGUGUAUGCUUCAAGAUUGCAUACGCUAAAAAUCGCAAAAAAUAAACAUUCAGAGAUAAAGUAACAGGACAAAACUUUUUGACGGUUAUCAACGAAAAAUCAUGAUUUAACGAUUAUUUUAAAUCUGAUUUUGAUAAUUUUUUUUACAGCUACACUCCUUGACCCUAUACGAAUACAAUGAAUGAGCUCGAUCUUCAAUUUAAAAUAUUUACACUAGUGGAUACCACAAAAUCUUAUGUUAUACUUAAUGAAAGUAUGAAUAAACUCUUAAAGUGUUAGUGAAUCUAUUGUUUUGAUGGGAUACAUAUUCUACAAAACUAGUUUCAACGAUCCAACCGUCAAACAUGUUUGUAUAUACUUCGAGAUCGCAUACGCCAAAAAUUGCAGAAAACAAACAUUCAGAGAUCAAGUAAUGGGACAAAACUUUUCGACGGUUAUCAACGAAAAAUCACGAUUUAACGGUUAUUUUAACUCCGAUUUUGAUGAUUUUUUACAGCUACACUCCUUGACCCUAUAUGAAUACAAUGAAUGAACUCGAUCUUCAAUUUAAAAUAUUCACACUAGUGGAUACCACAAAAUCUUAUGUUUAAUGAAAGUAUGAAUAAACUUUUAAGUAUUAGUGAAUCUAUUGUUUUGAUGGGAUACACAUUCUACGAAACUAGUUUCAACGAUCUAACUGUCAAACAUGAUUGUAUAUACGUCGAGAUCGCAUACGCCAAAAAUUGCAAAAAACAAACAUUCAGAGAUCAAGUAACGGGAUAAAACUUUUCGAACGUUAUCAACUAAAAAUCAUGAUUUAACGGUUAUUUUAACUCCGAUUUUGAUGAAUUUUUACAGCUACACUACUUGACCCUAUAUGAAUACAAUGAAUGAAUUCGAUCUUCAACUUAAAAUAUUUACACUAGUGGAUACCACAAAAUCUUAUGUUAUACUUAAUGAAAAUAUAAAUAAACUCUAGGUGUUAGUGAAUCUAUUGUUUUGAUGGGAUACACAUUCUACAAAACUAAUUUCAACGAUCCAACCGUCAAACUUGUUUGUAUAUGCUUCAAGAUCGCAUACGCCAAAAAUCACAAAAAACAAACAUUCAGAGAUCAAGUAACGGGACAAAAAAUUUCGACGGUUAUCAACUAAAAAUUACAAUUUAACGGUUACUUUAACUCUGAUUUUGAUGAUUUUUUACAGCUACACUCCUUUACCUUAUAUGAAUACAAUGAACGAAUUUGAUCUUCAAUUUAAAAUAUUUACACUAGUAGAUACCACAAAAUCUUAUGUCAUGAUGAUUGAUGAAAAUUGAGGAUUUUGUAAAAGGAAUAACAUGCAAGCUUUGAGUUCCAUUGGCAAGGUUUAAACUUUUGAGAAAGGCUUCACAACCUUGAAAACAAAAACUCUAUUAUUUUACAUAUCCUUGCACAUUUAAUAUUUGUAAUAGACUAGUAGUGUAUGGAUGUGGCAAUGUGUGGUAUGUGCAAAUUUAAGAAAAAAAGAUAUUUUUCUUAAUGAGUCAUAACGGGUCGGGUCACUUUACAACGGGUCAGGACACUUUACACGUUGGGUAAAGUGACCCGACCUGUUAAGGACCCGUUAAGAUAACGGGUGUGACACGAUACGACCCAUUAAGAUAAUAGGUGUUACACGAAAACGAUACAAACACGACAGACACGACCCGUUUGCCAGACCUAAUUAUAGUCAUGAUAUGACCGAAUAUAUUUGUCAAAAAUGCUAUUCAAAUGUAUAUAUUUUUUAAACUAAAUAAAUAAAUAAUUGUGACUAAUUUGAAAUUGUUGGAUAUAAUUUUUUUUAGGACAAAUUAAAAUGGAGCUCAGAAAGGUUGCAUAUGAUAUCACUGUUUUAAUCUCGUAUGUCCAGACAUAUAUUAGAGCAACACCAUCACUGCACCAACAGAAUAACACGUAAUCAAAAUAAUUAAACACUGAACUACUAAUUCAAUUUAAUUCAGUUUAAAAAGAAAAAUAUGAAAAUAUUUUGCAAAACUAAUAACAAAUAAUCCCCAGAGACAAUUCCACAUAAGUGGAAAUUGCAGACAAUAUACAUAGCAUCAAAUUAUGUCCGCCCGUCUGCUUUUCCUCUUCAUCGAUACAAUUUUUAGCACAAAUCCAUUAAAAGAAAUGCCAUUGAAAAUCCACAAAAAAUAUUAAAUUAUUUUAAAAUCAAUAAAAAAUGGCAAAGCAUAUAGUUGGAUAUAAUUAGGGAAGAUAAGUUGUAUAGCUUAUUAUUAUUAGUAUUAGAUGCAUAAAUUUCAUAAGUUGUAAAGAAACAAAAAGAGUUGCACAUGACGGUGGAUAUUGCAAUUUGCAAGAAUCUAAAGACUUUAUAAUCCACACUAUUUUAGAAUUACAACAAAAUAACAAAUACUAUUUCUGAAGCUGAACUAAAAUAACUCACACUAUUUUUGAAAAGGAAGAAAAUACACACUAAUUUUGGAACAACAACAAAAUAACCCACACUAUUUAUGAAACAAAACCAAAAUAAUCCACACUAUUUCUAAAACAGAACCAAAAUACUCCACGUUAUUUCUGGAACGACACGAAAUAAACACUGUUUCUGAAACUACAGUAAAAUAACUUACACUAUUUAUGAAAUAGAAUCAAAUUAAUAAAAACUAUUUCUAGAAAUACAGCAACAUAACUCAGCUAUUUCAGAAACUGAACCAAAAUAAUCCACACAAUUUCUAAAAAUACAACAAAAUAACUCACACUAUUUUUGAACCUGAACGAAAAUAAUUCAUACCAUUUAUGGAAUUACAACAAAAUAACCCACACUAUUUUUUAAACUGAAUCAAAAUAAUGCAUACUAUUUUUGGUAGGAAAAAAUAAACAUUAUUUUUGAGACAACAACAAAAUAACACACACUAUUUCAGAAACUACUACAAACUAACCAGCACUAUUUUUGAAAAUGAACAAAAUAAAGAGAGUUUUGACAAAAUAACCCAAUCUUGAUUCUUGAAUAUCGUUUGCCCGUCGUUCUCUACAAAAUGGUAGUCUUAUAUGUUGCUAUUUAAUAGUAGAAUCUAUAGAUGAAUUACUUUCGAUUUGGCUAUAUAUAUAACAACAUGAAAUUCAACUUCAUGAAUAAUAUCUGGGAGAAUUGCAUGAAGUUUUCAGUCCUCUCUCCUCUCUCCUCUCUCUCAUGCAAAAUCAUGGUUGCUAUUUUUGUUUCAGAAAACAUAGAAUAUUUUGAUAAAUAUGUUUUUGUUUUUUUGUUUUUUUUUUGUAUUCAUGGCCCUUUUUGGGAUUCUGCACAAUCUUGUGUCUGCCAUGAAUGGACAUAGACAGUAUAUGUUGACAUUCAUGUUCACACGUAUACAUAAUAAAUUAAAUAUGGAAUCCCCAUAUAUGAAUAUAAAAUAUAUAAAUAAAUUUGGGUAAAUUACACUUUACCACCUCAGGUUUGAGGUUUAUUACAACCUCAUUCAAUAUCUUCAAAACAUUUCACUUUCAUACCUCAAGUACUAUUUUAUUUCAAUAUAAUACAUCCGUUCCAUUUUCCAUCCAUUGAUCCGUUAAGAACUGACAUGGUUGGCACAUUUAUGCCAUGUGGCAAUUUUUUUUUUUUUUAAUAGUAAAAAAAAACCUGAAAACCCCGAAACCCAUUCCCCCAGACCACCUACCUCUCCUUCACUCUCUUCACCUCCCAUCCCAUCCAAAAACCCACCUCAUCCCACCCCACCCCACCCUACCCUUACCUUCCCCGCAAGCCCCACCCCACCCCACCCCACCCCACCCCCACCUUCAUCGAGCCUUUUCUCCUCUUUACCCCCACCCCCUUUCUCCCUUCUCUCAUCUGCAACACUACCCACCCUUCCCUUCUAUCCGUUACUUAUCAUCUUUCCCGACCCCUUCCCCUUCCCCGCAACCCAAACCCCCUCAUCUCACCCUACACCCACCUCCCUCGCAACCCCCCCCCAACCCCACCUCACCCCAAGCGAUCCCUAGAUCUGGACCUCGACAACCAGUCAACGACCCAUAUGCGCCGAACAACCCAGAAACCUCGAAUAUGGUGAUGGUCUUCUCACCGAGCUCGAGUCCUUCGGCCAGUCACACUAGGCCCUAUUAUUGAAGUCGUCGGCGAUGAAUGUUUGGCUAUGAGGAUGAAAGAGAUAAAGGUGGUUGCUCCGGUGGGAUGAAAGGAUUGACAUGGUGGUUGUAUGAGAUGGGUGGUGGUGAUAGAGAAAGAAAGAAAUGAAGUUAGGAGGCUCGGGAGGGAGAAGAUGGGUAGGGGGUUGCAGGAAGGUGGGGCUGGGGUUUUGAGGAUUCAGGUUUUGUUUUUUUGUUUUUUUUGGAUUAAAAAAUUAUUUUUUUUGCCAUGCACAAAUUUGGCAGCCAAGUGGCACAAAUGUAGCAUCCACGUCAGCUUUUAACGGAUCAAUGGAUGGAAAAUGUAACGGAUGUAUUAUGUUACAAUAAAAUAGUACUUGAGGUAUAAAAGUGAAAUGUUUUGAAGAUAUUGUAUAAGGUUGUAAUAGACCUCAAACAUGAGGUGGUAAAGUGUAAUUUACGCAAUAAAUUUUGUCAUAACCUUGGUUAGGGCCCACACAAAGAAAAGGAGAGUUUCCUUUAAACAAAGGCAAAGUUUUGUUGGGAUGGUGGAGCACUAGAAGCCUCAUCACGUUCGUGUUUAAUGAGAUAGUGGGUUAACUGAUGGGAUGAGCUUCUGUCAGGGGCAAGGCUGAAAAAUAAAGUUUUGCUUUUGCACAUGCGCCUGUAUUCUAGUUAUGAGAAUUUAAAUUUUUUUCCUCAUUAUAUUGUAUUAUGUCAUUUUUAUUAGGGUAAAUUACAUAAUACCCUAUCAGGUUUGAGGUCUAUUACAACCACAUACAACAUCUUUAAAACAUUUCAUUUACAUACCUCACGUACUAUUUUAUUUCAAAAUAAUACAUCCGUUAGAUUUUCCAUCCAUUUGUCUGUUAAAUGCUGACAUUGCUGCCACAUGGCAAAUUUUUUUUUUAUACAUUAAAAAUAUUAUAAUAUUAACCCUAUUAAAAAAAUAUCAGAAAAACCCAAACCCAGAAAUCCUUCCUCGCAACCCUACAUCCCACCCCACCCCCUUACCCAUCUCUUCCUUCUCGUCCGUCCAUCCCCUCCACCUCUCCAUCCAUCCCCUCCACCCGAGCACCCCUCAGCGUGGGUCCCACCUUGACCUCUCGAUCUCUCUCUCCCAGAAAUCCUUCCCCACAACCUCACAUCCCACCCUCACCCUCUUACCCAUCUUUUCCUUCCCGUCCAUCCAUCUCCUCCACCCUUCCAUCCAUCUUUCCACCUUUCCAUCCCCUCUACCUGAGCACCUCUCAGCUCGGGUCCCACCUCAACCUUUUUCUUUCUUUCUCUCUCUCUCAUUUCCUCCCCUUCUCUGCCAGAAAUCCUUCCCCGCAACCCCCAAUCCCACCCCCACCCCCAUACCCAUCUCUUCCUUCCCGUCCGUCCAUCUUAACUUCGACGACCUCUUCCUCUUCGACUUUUCCAACAUCGACCUCUCCUGCCUCGCCUCCCCCAACCUCCUACCUUGAGUCCGACGACUCAUCGGGGGGCCAACUACCCAACCCCUUCUCCUCGAUCCCCAAGUCCAUCGCUUCCUCCGGUUUCACCGCCAUUGCUGCCCACCUUCAGAGCUUCUCCGUCGACUUUGACUUUUUUGACAACCUGGGCAGGACUCUCUACGAGUUUGGGGGUUAGGUUAUUAGGGUUUCGGAGUGGGGAUUUUGUAAAUGGGUUGGUUGGUGGGUAGAAUUAGGUAUGGAAGUGCUUUAAUGGGGAUGAACCGCGAGCUGAACAAUGGAUUUUGUAAAUGGGAGUUGUAGAGAUAUGAGGGGGAAGGAAGGGGAUAUGGGUUCGGGUUUUUCUAAUUAUUUUAUUUAUUUAUUUAAAUAGAUUUAAUAUUAUAAUAUUUUUAAUGUAUAAAUUUUGUUUUGCCACGUGGCAGCCAUAUCAGCACAAAUGUGGCAGUCACGUCAGCAUUUAACAGACCAAUAUAUGGAAAAUCUAACGGAGGUAUUAUUUUUAAAUAAAAUAGUAUGUGAGGCAAGGUUCUAAAAAACGCUAGGCGCUAGUCGAGUGGUGGGCUAGCGCCUAGCGCCUAGACCGCCUAGGUGGAUUUAGAUAAAUUUCUUGUAUAUCUUGUAAAUAAGUACAUAUUGACACUUACAAAAAAUUAUACUUGUAUGAAAUCCAUGGAUAAGAUAAUAAAAGAAUGAUAAAAUGCAAAAAGAGUAUCCAACAAGUCCAAAAUUUAAAAACACAUUAAGCAUAUAUGCCAUAUAACCAUAGUGAGGAGUAUUGUUAGAUGACACAUGUACAACAAGUUCACAAUUUAAAAUAACAUAAAAUGGAAAAUAGGUGGAAAAUAAGGAAAUUUAGUAAUGUAAGAUACUUAUCUUUAGCAUCCCGGAAUUUAAGUUGGUACACAACACACAUAUUCUAUAAAAUUAACAAAAUUUCAAGGUAUAAUUAGAACUUAGACUUUAAACAAAUUUAAAAAAAAAAGAAAAAAAAAAGCCACCCAGCUGCCUAGGCCCACCUAGCCCGCUUAGGACUGCCUAGCCCACCUAGGGCCACCUAGAGCCACCUCGAUUUUUCCAGCCGUUUUGCACAAAAUCUCCUCGGUUCCAAGGCGCCUAGCGCCUAGGCGGCCGCCUAGGGCGUUUUUUAGAACAGUGAUGUGAGGUAUGAAAGUGAAAUGUUUUAAAGAUGUUGUAAUAGACCUCAAACCUGAGGGAGUAUUAUGUACUUUACCCUUUUUAUUAAAUCUCAAGCCCUUUACAUUAAAUAAAGUUAUAGGAUGAUUUUUUUUUAUUAAAAUAAACUUAGCCCAAACUCUUUUAAUUAAAGCUUAAAAAAAAAAAAAGAGAAAUAAGAGGGAAAAUAGGCUUGGUUUUAGGGGACGAGGUUUUCAAUAUAUUUGACUUUUAAGUUGGAUUUACAUAGUUUUGCGUUGAAAUUAAGCUAAUGAUUGAUUUUCUUUUUUGAGUACUUCGAUAUUUUUAUACUAAGGGGAGGGGUAGUUCGACAAAACCAUACAAUGAGCAGCCUAAUUUAGUAUCGAAUUCGCCAUCUACGAGAUUCGCUUCUAAGACCUCUCACUUUUAAGUGAAGAGGAAUACCACCAAAUCAUAGUACUGAGUGGCAGCUAAUGAUUGAUAUUGAGUUUAAAAAAUGAAUGCUCCAUAUAAAUAAAUAAAAAAAUUAUUAAUUUAUAUUAUUUUAUGAGAAUUUAUAUAUUAUUUAGUUCAAUUCAGUUCAAUUUUUGUACCAUCAAAAGUGAAACCGAACCAAUAAAUUUUAGUUUAGUUCGGUUUGGUUUUCUAGUUUCAAUUUGAUUUUUAAUUGGUUUGGUCUUCUUUAGUUUCAGUUUAGUGUUCGGUCUUUUUGUUUUUUUCUUUUCGGUUUUCCAAGCCCACCCCUUAGAUUAAGUUGCACAUAUAAACCGUCUUAUUUUCCAAACAUAUAUAUGUACAACGAAACAUCUUAAUAAUGUAGAGGUAUCUUUCCCUAAACGACAAAAAGGUUGCAUUCAUUUCCUUUUGUCAUUGGUUGUCCAAAAAUGUUACUCUUAUUUAUUUGUGUCAUCUUUCUAAUAAAGAUAUGAUCUAUAUACACUGGCAGGCCAUAUCUUUAUUAAAUAGAUGAUACAAAUAAGUGAUAAGUGUAAUAUUACUCUUGUUCAAGCAUCCCACGGCAAAAAAUAUGCAAUAGAUCUAGAAACAAAUGAGAGAGACCUAGAGAACCAUUAGGUUGUUAACAGAAAAAUAUUUAGACCGUUUGAUUUAAUCUAAAGGAUUGUUAUUAGCAUUUCUAAAAUUUCAUUUCACACUCCAAAUUUUCUAUAAUAAGAAAAAAAAAUACACUUGUGAGGAGUGUAUAAUGAGAUUUUUGGAAUGCUAAUAACACUUCCCUAAUCAUAAUAUGACAGUGAGAUUAGUAAUGGAGAUGAUGGCAUAAUACCUUAUUACGGUGAAAUCAAACUAAAUGUAUCUUAAUUGUUUCCUAUUAAGACUUAAUGAGUUGAUUUGUUAAUCUAUUUAGCUAGCUAUUCUAGAAGUUCUUGAAAGUCUUGAGAGCAACACCCCGCGUGUCAAGAUACAUGUGGGAAAUAAGUUCAGGCUUUCAACAAAAAUUUCAACUGGCCACUGUUUGUUGAACAGCAUUGCUGAUUCUAAGCUUAUUGAAUUGACUAUACAAAACGAGCAACUUAUAGAUAAAAAAAAGUGGUCAUGAUUAAUUAAUUACUUGCAUUCGUCACCUAAUUAGGUUCUUUUUUUUCUUUUUUUUUUUAAAUUUUGUGAAUGAUUAGAUAUCUAUUACAAGAUAAAAGAAGAUAAUGAAAAAGAAGCAGAGCUAGAAGAAGGAGACAAACGAUACUAGAACAAUAUAAUAGAAGAAGAACUACACAACAAAGACAACAUGAUGGAAGCCUAGAAGAGUUGAAAGUAGAUAAGCAAAAGUUGAAAGAGCAAAAUAAUAAUGCAAUAAGUGGGGAAUAUGUCACAAUAGCACUGUGCAAAGUUACAUACAAUAAGUCUAGCAUUAGGCAAAAAUAUAAACAUCACUAUGGGACCCACGAUAAUAAAUAAAAUAAUGACAUAAGAGUAAAUAAAAAAAUACUUAAUCCAUUAUGGACAUUUUCCACCAAAAAUUCCCUUUUAAUUAAAAAUAAAAUUGAAAGGAGUUUUCAUUAAAUUCCCUUUUUGUAAACGAUGAAUAAAAUACUUUGUAGAUUCCAUAUUUUAAUUUUAAUUUUAAUUUAAGAAAUGUUAAUGGGACUCUCUCAAAGUAAGACUAUCCAUGGACUCACUGCCACCUCAUAAUUUAACAUUUGUUCUUGUGCCAACAUUAUAAAACAUUGUGCUAAAAACAUGCGGUAGCAAAGAGUCCCUAGAGACUCCACCUUUUGAAAGAGCCUCCUUAACAUUUCUUAAAUUGAAAAAUGCUAAAGAGAUUCUUUCAAAGUGAGUCUUUUCAUGGACUCAUUGCCACCUAACAGUUUAACGUUUUUUCUUGUGCCAACAUUAUUAAACAUUGUACCAAAAACAUGAGGUGGCCAAUGUUCUAAAAGAUGCUAGGCGCUAGUCUGGCGGCGUCCUAGAGCCUAGCGCUAGACGGGGCCUAGGAGGAUUUACGUAAAAUCGUAUAAAUAAGUGACUAUUUAUAUUUAAAAAAAUACAUAAUUGUACUGAGAUACAUAGAUUACAAAAUAAAAUAACAUAUAGAUUAUUUUAAGUAAAUUUAUUACAUAUAAUAAUAAUAAUAAUAAUAAUAAUAAUAUGACUUAUGUGCAUAAGUUGAGGAAUAUUUCUUUUGGUUUUGUAACAUUUUUGCUUAGCCUAAUAUGUUUUAAUCAUUGUUAUGCCUUACUUUUCAUUAAAAAAAGAUUGAGCUUGUUUUCACAUUAAAUAAAUAAAUAAAAAUUUAUUCCCUAAUUUUAAAAGAACUACCAGCCAAUUUUAAAAUCUUUAACUCUAGCCCUAGCCAACAUAAACUCUGUGUUGUCGCACUUCUUCUCUGCAAUUGCAGAUUUGACAGAGCUCCGUCUCUCCCUUUGUCUCUUCCUCUCAUGUCAAAUGUUUUAGGCCGACUCCUCUUCUACGCACGUAGAGAAGGGAAAAGGAGCAGCAACAUGAAGACUACCUUUGCAACGAUAAUUUUUCUUGAGUUACAUAACCGCCCGGGGGUCGCUGAGGCCGCCUAGCCCUCCUAGGGGGCCGUCUAGGCGCCGCCUAAUAGUCUAGCCGACUUGUUGAAUGAUUUUGCUGAAUUGACGGCAGUCGGUCUCCGUCGAGUGCCUAGGUCGAUUUUUACAACACUGGAGAUGAUAGAGAGUCCCACUUUUUGGAGUCUCUUUAACAUUUCUCUUAUAAUUUUUGGAAACAAUUAUUUUUUGGGUACAAAUUUCUAGAAAGAUAUUUUUUGGAGAGUGCUAUCCAAGCACAUAUUUCUAUUUCUUACACAUCCCUCUUAAUUUCCUACUAUCGGAUUAAAUGAAUUGAAGAAGGUUAAUCGCAAAAAAUUAGCAAGGGUUUGUGAGAGAUAAAAUGUGUGGGUGAAUAUCACUACUUUAAAAAAAAAAGAAAAAAAAAAAAACACUCCCAAAGUAGCUUGGAUUCGGUAAGUGGGAUGAAUUUUUGUCUGUUAUUAUAUUUAGGAAGUGCUAUAUUCAUACAUUAUUUUUCACUUUUUACACAUCCUUACUAAUUUUUUGUCAUUAAUUUUUUUUUAAUUCAUUCAAUUUAACGGUCGAAAAUUAAGAAGAAUGUAUAAAAAAUACGAAUGAAUGUCUGGAUAGUGCUACCUUAUAUUUGUAGCGUUGAAGGACGUAACGGUUUGCUUGCCAGUUUUGCUUUGUUUGAUGGUGUUGAAGGACGUAACCAUGUGCUUUUCAAAUUCGCUUUGUUAGUUUAAAUAGUCUCAUAUAUUCCAAUGUUGGUUUUCGAGUAAAAAUAAAACAAAAAACAUUCCAAUGUUGGUGGGCUGAUAAGUUUUGAUUAUGCUUUCUUGCUUAAUUUCCUGCCCUCCUCGUGUACCCGCAGGAAUCCCACGAUUCCAGAAGUCCUCGCUUGAGAGCGCAAAAUAUAGCCAUCAUGUGAUGGAAGAAAGACCAUACGGUAAAUGCUACACUUACUAUUAUGAUGUACUAUCACUUAUAUCAUAUCUCUAAUAGAGAUGGAUUUGCUAACGCAUGUGAGUCUCAUCUUUAUCAGAGAGAUGAUAAAGUGAUGAUACAACUAGAUGAUGAGAAUAGCAUUUUUGCAUAAAAUAUGGUUGAUAUUUUGACUUGCAAAAAUAUGGGUGGUGCCGGUGGCACUCUCAAUACUUGCGAGGACUUCUGCAAUUGUGGGUUCAAAAUUCAGUGGUAAAUGGCGGAUUACGAGACUUUUUUAAAACAAAAAACUGGAGGUUUCGGGUUCGAAAUCCGCUGCUGGUGUGGAAGCCAAACUUAUGGCUAAAGAGAGGCUGAAAUGCCUAUGUGAGUUUUCUUGACUUUCAAAAGAGAUGAAUAACCGUGACUUAUCAUCAGUUUUCCUUAUUUUUAAAAUUAAAAAAAAAAAAAAACAUUGUUGAAAAGGAAGAACUGAUCUUUGAUUAUCAAAUUGUUGGAUACUCUUAUAGACCUAUUAUCAAUGUCUAAAAUAUCGAUAUUAUCCCGAUAUUUCCAUCGAAAUUUCCGUGUUUUUGGAGUACCGAUAUUUCCGAUAUCAUCGAUAUUUUAGACCUUGAUAGGAACUCUAUGUGGUAAUAAGUCACUCAUGUAUCUUACCAUGCAAUGUAUGAAGUGUAAAAUAUUGUACUAAUUCAUUAUAUAUAAAUGAUAUGGUGUGUUUAAACUUCUUUCAUUAAUUACUACAUAUUUUCUACACUCACAAUGUUUGUCAACUCGCUAUAUAAUCAACUUAAAUCAGUUAAAUCCAUUAUGCAAUGCAUUUCCUUCCAAUUUUUUUUUGUGAUAAACUAAUAGAUUAUUGACUAAAUAAACAUUCUGCAAAGUUUCAAUAAAAAUUUCCAGGUUUUUCUUAAAAUUUCCGUGGUUUUUAUUCAAUUUUUUUCGAUAUCGAUAAUAUCCCGAUAUUUCCAUCGAAAUUUCCGUAUUUUUAGACCACCGAUAUUUCCGAUAUAAUCGAUAUUUUAUAUCUUGCCUAUUAUAUAACUCUUAUAGACUCAUCAUUUCAUCUCAGAAACUUCAUUUUGAAAUUGAUUAGUUUAGUACUUAAAUAUAUUGUAGAAUAAUUAGAUAGCUAAUUUCUCAAAAAAAAAAAAAAAAUACUACUUUAUUCUUGUAGACUGGUCAUUUCAAUGUUAUUUUUUUUUUAAUCUCGAUACGUAUGAGAAGGUUGGCCACCGACACCAAAUUAAUUAGUGAUUCCUAAAGCUUACUUCUGGAUUUGGACCCCAUCUGCAUCAUUUUUGUCAUGAUCCUAAGAAUCAAAUCUUAUCCGAUAAUUUAUCAAUCACAAAUUAUUUUAUUUAAAAUUAAACAUAAACAAUGUCUAACAAAAAUUGAUCGUAUAAUGUACGAUAAACGGAUAAAAUAUGAAGAUCCUCACAAACAGAAUCCGGAGAAAAUCCUCAUUCCUUACUUAUAUAACCAUACAUAACUUUCAUAAAAGGUGGGCUGGACAACGAACACGUUGAUUUAUAAUACGGAUUAUGAACACGAGAAAGUUGAUGACAUACGUCCCAGCUUCUCAGUGUCUAGCUAGCUCUAUAAAAUGGAACCAUUUCCUUCAUUUAUCAUCACAAAAGUUUCAUCUCGAUCGACUUACUUAUAAUUCUUUUUACUCAUCCUCUUCUGAUAUACAUAAUAUUCUCUGAGUCUUUGAAAUUUGAAGAUAUGGCUCCAGUUGCUACUCAAACCAUGGAUGUAAAGAGCAUCAAAUCGCUUGCGGAAUCACCCGCUCUCUGCUCUGUUCCUUCUGCUUAUGCCUUCAACAUAAACCCCAAUGAUGAAGCAGAUCCAAACGAUCCCGAAUUUGCAAUCCCUAUAGUUGAUAUGUCUCUUCUCACCUCGGGAUCUCCUGAUCAACGCUCCAAAAUAAUCCACGACCUGGUCAAAAUUUGCAAAGAAUGGGGCUUCUUCAUUGUAAGUAGUUUAACUAAGUACUAACUACUUCAGUUAUUUUUUAGGAGAAAUAUUUGAGUGACGGUUGCUAGUGUUUUAGAGUUACUGGUAGCAAUUUGAUAAAGAAAACAACAAAAAUGAUACUUUUGUCACAUUUUCGAUAAAUCAUUUGUAUCGUCUCUCUAAUAAAGAUGAGACCCAUAUGCGCCUUUAUUAGAGAGGUGGGACAAAUGUGGUACAAAAAAUGUAGUAAGUGUAGCAUUACUUGAAAAAAAAGCAAGCUAAUUAAUCUUGGUCACGAUGUAUUCAUUACAGGCAAUUAACCAUGGAGUCCCAGAGAGUCUAAUGAAGGGGAUGAUUGACGCGUGCCAUGGAUUUUUCAGCCUCCCAGACGAAGAGAAGGAGGAGUUCAAAUCCGGAAAUGAUGUGCUGGACAUGUUCAAGUACGGAACCAGCUACAAUCUUGCAUUAGACAAAGUCCUUCUCUGGAGGGACUUCUUCAAGGUGAGAGUACAUCCCGAGUUCUACUCCCUCUACAAACCGGCUUGCUUCAGUGAGGUUUCAAUGGAGUUCAGCAAGAGAACAAGAGAAGUAGCAUUGGAGAUAACACGCGCAAUCUCCGAAAGUUUGGGACUGGAGCCCAACUACAUACAUGAUGCGAUGAACAUGGAUCGCGGCCUACAAAUGCUCGCCGCCAACUACUAUCCGCCUUGCCCUCAGCCAGAACAUGCAAUUGGUAUACCACAUCACACUGAUCAUGGCCUUGUCACCCUCCUCAUCCAGAAUGAGAUGAAUGGCCUCCAAGUUGAACAUAACGGCAAGUGGCUCACCGUCAGUGGCGCUGCCAACGGUUUCUUUGUCAACCUCGCUGACCAAAUGCAAAUUCUUACUAAUGGCAAAUACAAGAGUGUGAUGCAUCGGGCAACUGUGAACAACAAAGCUACGAGGAUAUCUAUUGCCAUACCACAUGGACCAUCAAUUGAUACACUUAUCGCACCGGCACCGGAGUUACUGGAAAAAGAAGGCCAAGCUCCGAAAUAUGUUGGAAUGAAUUAUAAGGAAUAUAUCCAGCUUCAACAGAGCGGCAAGAACUACAUGAAAUCCACCUUUGAUCACAUACUAGCGUAACUGAGCUUUAUACAGAGUCCCGUGGCUUGGUCACACUUCAAACGAUCUCAACCAUAUUGAAAGAGCUGCAGCCCUUUUGAUUUCUUUUUCUUCGAACUGUUUUAGUCUUUUGUUUCAAUGAUCACGUCAUAUCGGUGUUGGCUUGAUGUGUUGUUAGCACCAAACAGCCUUGUAGUUCAAUAAUAUUAAACAUCGCAGACUAGCAGCUGGCUUCGAUUGAAACCAUUUGCUUGCCCGUUUUGCUUUGUUUUAUAGUGUUGAAGGACGU